AGAGUUUGAUCAUGGCUCAGGAUGAACGCUAGCGGCAGGCCUAAUACAUGCAAGUCGAACGGUAAGUCCCUGCUUGCAGGGAACACGAGUGGCGCACGGGUGCGUAACGCGUAUGCAACCUACCUUUAACUGGGGAAUAGCCCCGAGAAAUCGGGAUUAAUACCCCAUAAUAAUAAAAUAUGACAUCAUUUUUUAUUUAAAGUUCCGGCGGUUAAAGAUGGGCAUGCGUGACAUUAGUUAGUUGGUGAGGUAACGGCUCACCAAGGCAACGAUGUCUAGGGGUUCUGAGAGGAUUAACCCCCACACUGGUACUGAGACACGGACCAGACUCCUACGGGAGGCAGCAGUAAGGAAUAUUGGGCAAUGGACGCAAGUCUGACCCAGCCAUGCCGCGUGCAGGAUGACAGCCCUACGGGUUGUAAACUGCUUUUAUACGGGAAAAAACCCCUCUACGUGUAGAGGAUUGAUGGUACCGUAAGAAUAAGCACCGGCUAACUCCGUGCCAGCAGCCGCGGUAAUACGGAGGGUGCAAGCGUUAUCCGGAUUUAUUGGGUUUAAAGGGUGCGCAGGCGGAACGAUAAGUCAGUGGUGAAAUCCUACGGCUCAACUGUAGAACUGCCAUUGAUACUGUCGUUCUUGAGUAUAGUUGUAGUGGGCGGAAUGUGUCAUGUAGCGGUGAAAUGCAUAGAUAUGACACAGAACACCGAUCGCGAAGGCAGCUCACUAAACUAACACUGACGCUCAGGCACGAAAGCG
rnacentral:rRNA from 1 species